GAUGAACGCUGGCGGCGUGCUUAACACAUGCAAGUCGAACGAACCUUCGGGUUAGUGGCGGACGGGUGAGUAACGCGUGAGAAUCUGCCCUCAGGAGGGGGAUAACGGCUGGAAACGGCCGCUAAUACCCCAUAUGCCGAGAGGUGAAAUGAAUUUCGCCUGAGGAUGAGCUCGCGUCUGAUUAGCUAGUUGGUGGGGUAAGAGCCUACCAAGGCUUCGAUCAGUAGCUGGUCUGAGAGGAUGAUCAGCCACACUGGGACUGAGACACGGCCCAGACUCCUACGGGAGGCAGCAGUGGGGAAUUUUCCGCAAUGGGCGAAAGCCUGACGGAGCAACGCCGCGUGAGGGAUGAAGGCCUCUGGGCUGUAAACCUCUUUUCUCAAGGAAGAAGACCUGACGGUACUUGAGGAAUAAGCCACGGCUAAUUCCGUGCCAGCAGCCGCGGUAAUACGGGAGUGGCAAGCGUUAUCCGGAAUUAUUGGGCGUAAAGCGUCCGCAGGCGGCCUUUUAAGUCUGUCGUUAAAGCGUGGAGCUUAACUCCAUUUAAGCGAUGGAAACUAGAAGGCUAGAGUGUGGUAGGGGCAGAGGGAAUUCCCGGUGUAGCGGUGAAAUGCGUAGAUAUCGGGAAGAACACCAGUGGCGAAGGCGCUCUGCUGGGCCAUAACUGACGCUCAUGGACGAAAGCCAGGGGAGCGAAAGGGAUUAGAUACCCCUGUAGUCCUGGCCGUAAACGAUGAACACUAGGUGUCGGGGGAAUCGACCCCCUCGGUGUCGUAGCCAACGCGUUAAGUGUUCCGCCUGGGGAGUACGCACGCAAGUGUGAAACUCAAAGGAAUUGACGGGGGCCCGCACAAGCGGUGGAGUAUGUGGUUUAAUUCGAUGCAACGCGAAGAACCUUACCAGGGUUUGACAUCCUGCGAAUCCCUUGGAAACGAGGGAGUGCCUUCGGGAGCGCAGAGACAGGUGGUGCAUGGCUGUCGUCAGCUCGUGUCGUGAGAUGUUGGGUUAAGUCCCGCAACGAGCGCAACCCACGUCGUUAGUUGCCAGCAUUCAGUUGGGCACUCUAGCGAGACCGCCGGUGAUAAACCGGAGGAAGGUGUGGAUGACGUCAAGUCAUCAUGCCCCUUACAUCCUGGGCUACACACGUACUACAAUGCUACGGACAAAGGGCAGCAAGCUCGCGAGAGUUAGCAAAUCCCAUAAACCGUGGCUCAGUUCAGAUCGUAGGCUGCAACUCGCCUACGUGAAGGAGGAAUCGCUAGUAAUCGCAGGUCAGCAUACUGCGGUGAAUACGUUCCCGGGCCUUGUACACACCGCCCGUCACACCAUGGAAGUUGGCCACGCCCGAAGUCGUUACUCCAACCCUUGUGGAGGAGGACGCCGAAGGUGGGGCUGAUGACUGGGGUGAAGUCGUAACAAGGUAGCCGUACCGGAAGGUGCGGCUGGAUCACCUCCU
rnacentral:rRNA from 1 species